GCGGGCAUAGUUUAGUGGUAAAACACCUGCCUUCCAAGCAGGAUAUCCGGGUUCGAUUCCCGGUGCCCGCU
rnacentral:tRNA from 17 species